GAGGAAAAGAAACUAACAAGGAUUCCCCUAGUAACGGCGAGUGAAGCGGGAAGAGCUCAAAUUUGAAAUCUGGCACUUUCAGUGUCCGAGUUGUAAUCUCGAGAAGUGUUUUCCGCGCUGGACCGCAUAUAAGUCUGUUGGAAUACAGCGUCAUAGUGGUGAGAACCCCGUAAUUGAUGCGGACGCCCAGUGCUUUGUGAUACACUUUCGAAGAGUCGAGUUGUUUGGGAAUGCAGCUCAAAUUGGGUGGUAAAUUCCAUCUAAAGCUAAAUAUUGGCGAGAGACCGAUAGCGAACAAGUACCGUGAGGGAAAGAUGAAAAGCACUUUGGAAAGAGAGUUAACAGUACGUGAAAUUGUUGGAAGGGAAACGCUUGAAGUCAGACUUGCUGUUUGGAAUUCAGCCGCAAGGUGUACUUUUCAGAUAUGCAGGCCAGCAUCAGUUUUUGGGGGUGAAAAAGGGUAUUGAGAAGGUAGCAGUUUCGGCUGUGUUAUAGCUCUUUGCUGGAUUCAUCCUUGGGGACUGAGGAACGCAGCUCACUUUUUGCACGAUCUUCGGAUUGUUCUGAGCUUAGGAUGCUGGUGGAAUGGCUUUAAACGA
rnacentral:rRNA from 1 species